UACGGAGGGAGCUAGCGUUGUUCGGAAUUACUGGGCGUAAAGCGCACGUAGGCGGCUUUGUAAGUUAGAGGUGAAAGCCCGGGGCUCAACUCCGGAACUGCCUUUAAGACUGCAUCGCUUGAAUCCAGGAGAGGUGAGUGGAAUUCCGAGUGUAGAGGUGAAAUUCGUAGAUAUUCGCAAGAACACCAGUGGCGAAGGCGGCUCACUGGCCCGGUACUGACGCUGAGGUGCGAAAGCGUGGGGAGCAAACAGGG
rnacentral:rRNA from 1 species